rnacentral:rRNA from 1 species
GAUGAACGCAUAGCGGCAGGCCUAACACAUGCAAGUCGAGGGGUAACAGGGAGUGCUUGCACUCUGCUGACGACCGGCGCACGGGUGCGGAACGCGUAUGGAACCUGCCCCUGUCAGGGGAAUAGCCCAGAGAAAUUUGGAUUAAUGCCCCAUGGUAUCGUACCACCGCAUGGUGGUUUGAUUAAAGAUUUAUCGGACAGGGAUGGCCAUGCGUACCAUUAGCUAGUUGGUGAGGUAACGGCUCACCAAAGCAACGAUGGUUAGGGGCCCUGAGAGGGGGAUCCCCCACACUGGUACUGAGACACGGACCAGACUCCUACGGGAGGCAGCAGUGAGGAAUAUUGGACAAUGGCCGAAAGGUUGAUCCAGCCAUGCCGCGUGCAGGGUGACGGCCCUAUGGGUUGUAAACUGCUUUUACAUGGGAAGAAACCUCCCCUCGUGAGGGGAGCUGACGGUACCAUGAGAAUAAGGACCGGCUAACUCCGUGCCAGCAGCCGCGGUAAUACGGAGGGUCCGAGCGUUAUCCGGAAUCAUUGGGUUUAAAGGGUCCGUAGGCGGGCCUAUAAGUCAGGGGUGAAAGGCCACGGCUCAACCGUGGGACUGCCCUUGAUACUGUAGGUCUUGAGUUAUAGUGGGGUUGCCGGAACAUGUGGUGUAGCGGUGAAAUGCAUAGAUAUCACAUAGAACACCGAUCGCGAAGGCAGGUGACCAACUAUAUACUGACGCUGAUGGACGAAAGCGUGGGUAGCG